GACGAACCGUCCAAACGUUAUUCGGAAUCACUGGGCUUAAAGGGCGCGUAGGCGGCCGAGCGGGUCACGGGUGAAAUCCUCCAGCUUAACUGGAGAACUGCCCUUGAUACCACUGCGGCUCGAGGAAGGAAGGGGCAAUCAGAACUGUCGGUGGAGCGGUGAAAUGCGUUGAUAUCGACAGGAACGCCGGUGGCGAAAGCGGAUUGCUGGUCCUUUUCUGACGCUGAUGCGCGAAAGCCAGGGGAGCAAACGGG
rnacentral:rRNA from 1 species